rnacentral:rRNA from 1 species
UACGGAGGAUUCAAGCGUUAUCCGGAUUUAUUGGGUUUAAAGGGUGCGUAGGCGGCCUGUUAAGUCAGGGGUGAAAGACGGUAGCUCAACUAUCGCAGUGCCCUUGAUACUGAUGGGCUUGAAUGGACUAGAGGUAGGCGGAAUGAGACAAGUAGCGGUGAAAUGCAUAGAUAUGUCUCAGAACACCGAUUGCGAAGGCAGCUUACUAUGGUCUUAUUGACGCUGAGGCACGAAAGCGUGGGGAUCGAACAGG